AAUUAUAAAAAAUAAGGCUGUUAGCUGGAGAUCCAAGAGGCCGUUCCAGUGAAGGCGCCAUCCACAGGACACAUGGCAUCCGUGGAGCUCUCGUCAAUGGCGCUUCGCCGCCUUCUUCCAAUCGCCGCCGUCACCGUUCCCGUUGCGACGCUUUUAUUUCUUUUUUAUUUUUAUUUUGGCAGUGUACUAGUUUUUCUGGAUUCGUCGAUCUGAAGGCUCUUCCUCAAGACUGCUACGGCGGAGCAGACGAUCGAACCUGUUGAAACGAGGAUCAGAAUUGCUGCGGCGAUGUAUACGCCGCUCUUCACCAAAUAGCACUCGCCGCUCAACCAGCCCGCACCGUAUUGUUGCUGUCUGCUCAUACUCGUCGCCGCGCUCAGUAGCAAUAUCACCACGCUAUACAAGACACAAUGGCAACGAGUGCGAACGAGACGACGAUCGAGAGGCUUAAGGCGUAGACGAAACGGCGUUUUUCCAUGGCGGGGUGUGGUGUUAUGAGGAGAAUGAAUAUAAAACACAGGGAAAGGCUAGCUUCAAUGUGACUAAAGAGGAAAUUGGGAGCUCUUAGGGGGCUUUUCUAUUUUGUGUGUGUGUGUGUGUGUAGGAUUGCUUGUUGCUUUUGUGUUAGUUGUUGAAAUUGUUCUUUCAGGAGGCUUUUUUUUUAGUUGCUUGGAAUGAGAGUUACCAGUUUAUUUGAGAACAACCUGUAUGGAAAAUUUGAAAGAACUGUAUUUAAUUUUCUUUAAUAA